rnacentral:rRNA from 1 species
UACGUAGGGGGCAAGCGUUGUCCGGAUUUAUUGGGCGUAAAGAGCGUGUAGGCGGCUAUGUAGGUCCGUUGUGAAAACUCGAGGCUCAACCUCGAGACGCCGAUGGAAACCAUGUGGCUAGAGUCCGGAAGAGGAGAGUGGAAUUCCUGGUGUAGCGGUGAAAUGCGCAGAUAUCAGGAAGAACACCCGUGGCUAAGGCGGCUCUCUAGUACGGUACUGACGCUGAGACGCGAAAGCGUGGGGAGCGAACAGG